CCUACGGGAGGCAGCAGUGGGGAAUAUUGCACAAUGGGGGAAACCCUGAUGCAGCGACGCCGCGUGAGUGAAGAAGUAUUUCGGUACGUAAAGCUCUAUCAGCAGGGAAGAAAAUGACGGUACCUGACUAAGAAGCCCCGGCUAACUAAGUGCAAGCAGCCGCGGUAAUGCGAAGGGGGCAAGCGUUAUCCGGAUUUACUGGGGGUAAAGGGAGCGUAGACGGCAGCGCAAGUCUGGAGUGAAAUCCCAUGGCUUAACCAUGGAACUGCUUGGGAAACUGUGCAGCUAGAGUGCAGGAGAGGUAAGCGGAAUUCCUAGUGUAGCGGUGAAAUGCGUAGAUAUUAGGAGGAACACCAGUGGCGAAGGCGGCUUACUGGACUGUAACUGACGUUGAGGCUCGAAAGCGUGGGGAGCAAACAGGAUUAGAUACCCGAGUAGUC
rnacentral:rRNA from 1 species